rnacentral:lncRNA from 1 species
AUGCGAGGCGUAAGUGAGUUAGUGUCGUUGCUGAUUCUUGUUUACGUGUUGUGGAGCCCAGUAAGCUCAAGCUCAUUGACAAACGUCGAUUUCGAGGAUGGAAACGUUUGGUCUUUGGAACUCAAUAUUUUAGAAAGAAGAGAUCCCAGCCCAGGCAAACGUGGGAGCGCGGGAGGCGGAGGCGGAGGACACAGUGGAGGUGGAGGAGGUGGAAUCAGUCCCGAAGAAAGGAAGAAACGAUUUUGUGCGAGGAAGCCCAAGUGUUGCCCACACCCAGAUCCAAAGGAGAAUUGUGAAGAUAAUCUUGAACAUCCUAAUCCGAGGGUUACCAUCAUGAACAUUUGGAUGAAGUUAAUAGAAUGAAGCCAAUUAUUGUCUCUUCAUCAACAGCCAAAGGACUAUGACACACGUUGAAUCAGGAAGCGCACUGUCAGUCUGAUGACGGUUGUGGCGCGCUGGCAGCCUAACUCUAGAUUUUGCCCAGCAGCAUGAAAAACAAUCGAUAUUCAUCGAAGAGUACUUUCCUACCGAAUGUGAAUCAUUGACGAUGAUGGGUUUCAUUCGACGAAACACAAUGUUGUCAACUUUCAUGAAUUGUAAUCAUUGCUAUUCAAUCUGUUUUGAACGGGCUAGUAUUUCGGAUACAACUUUUCCCUGUGUUGUCAAAGUUCUUAUGUCAAAAUUUUAUGGAUUUUUUUGAGCCGGGUCUAUUCUGUCGUGCUAUAGGGAAUGAUGCCAUAAUAUGAGGCUCCAGAAGUUGUCAUAUCUCCUAUAAUAAAAAACGAAUUUUCUGAAAAUAUUCCGAAUCUUUUCCUUUGAAAAUUCCAGACAAUGUUGUUCGCAAUAUAUUCCAAAUUAUCUGAAACGCGCCUUCAAUUUUUCAGAUGCAGCGCGGACGUCCAUCAAGUACGAAUAGUUGUAUCUCUGCGCCGUCGUAUACGCGCAUCUUAUCCCUAGCUCUAUUUCCACAUUGUGUUUGUUUCCGUUUGUCUUCUUCGUAGUGGUGCUUCAAACACUACGUGAGUAACACAGCUGAAGAUAGGAGCGACGUAUUCAGGCCUCUUUUUUGACUUUUCUCCCGACUCCGAGCGACACCUCAUUGACAGCAUAUAGCGGAGCAUUGAGAAUUCAAGCUCCGCGUCAUUGCGCCUUCAAUUUUUCAGAUGCAGCACGGACGUCCGUUAAGUACGAAUAGUUGUAUCUCUGCGCCGUCGUAUACGCGCAUCUUUUCCCUCGCUCUAUUUUCACAUUGUGUUUGUUUCCAUUUGUCUUCUUCGACUGGUGCUUCAAACACUACAUGAGUAACACAGCUGAAGAUAGGAGAGACGUAUUCGGGUCUCGUUUUUAACUUUUCUCCCAAAGCUCAUUAGCAGCAUAGAGCAGAGCAUUGCGAGUUCACGACUCACGGCAUCGCGCCUUCAAUUUCUCAUAUCGACGGUGUAAGUCGGCAAUCACGUAACUCGGUUUGCGACGUCGCAGACUUCCUGUAAUACUUUAUCAUUUAAACGGAGAACUACUCAACGGCAAUUCUUAAAAACUGCCGUGAUUUUUCUUCUCCAUGCGAAGAAAAUUCUGCAAAAACUUCAAAAAAUGAUGUCAAUUUGUUCUCCUUUAAAAAAAUAACAUAGAGGCGGAGAUUUUCAGACACCGCAAACGAGUUGUGUGAUUGCCGACUUGCACCGUCGAUAUGCAAUGUGGAUAUCCAUCUUGCGCGAAUAGUAUUGUCGCGUUUAGAUAUUUCUUAUUUUUGAAAUUUGAGAUAAGUUAAUGUUCAGUUUGCUCGAAAUAUGCUAUGGUUUGUUCAAAUCAAUGGUCAUUUUUAAAGAGAAGAAAUACAGGGUUAUUCAAAAGUCACGCACCACUGGCCAUAACUUUCGUUGCGGUUUCAGACGUUUUUCCUCAUAUCGAGGGGGAAAAUUGUUUAGGUACUUUCCAGUUUUUGAUUCCCUCGGGGGAGGGGGACGGGGGGCAACUCAAAAAUUUCAAAUGGCUACCCCCCUCAUGGCCAAUGGUGCGUGACUUUUGAACAACCCUGUAAGCCCAAAGGUCUCUCAAGAGCUCUAUAAAGGGUGCUUACGUGUAAAAGUCGAACUGACAAGCGCUUGUAAGGGAGUUAAACAUAGCAGGAAAAGGAGGAGAAUCAUAAAGCGCCUGUAUGUCAACAAAAAGGUGAACAUUUCACAGAAAAGUGUUUCCGCUUCAGGAAGUAGUUCCUGGACCUCUGUUCACCACUAUCAUGUGUAUGAUGAGCACCUUUCUUUACUCCUAACUCUCUCUCUUUCCGUUUAUUUAAGACAUUUUCCGCAUAUUUUCUCGGUCUAAUUUUUUUUUUCUUCUUACUCUGCCAUCUGUCAGGGAGGCGCGUUUUUGGUGCGCCAUUGGGGCGUAUCUGCAAAUGACAGAUACGUCAGUCCUAGGCUAGAGCUCAGAUAGAAAUUAGGAACGCUGAAAAAAGUUAUAAAAACCGAUAGUAGUAUGGUGUUUUGUAUAUCGGCUACAUUAUUCGGUUUAUGUAAUUGUGCCUUUCAGUUCAUAUAACUGCACUUCGGUUCGCACAAUCGAAUUUGCAAGCUAACUUAAUAUGUAAUAAUACUUCUGAAGCAUGAGCCGAACUGAAAGUAGAGAGAACUGCGGUUCCAUGAUCAGAGUAUACCGAUAUCAGCUGAAACUGUAACUACGGUUACGAAACGCAAAAAGCGGCCGAAAAGAAACCGACACACAUGAAACAGGUUGUGCGGAUUUUCGUGCAAAUUUCAGUGAAUUGUCUCCACAGUACGAAGCAAAUUCUUAAAAAUUUUUUAAAGGAGUCCGCACAAAUGUUCUCUCGUAAAAAACUAAAUUGCCCAGUUAAAUUUGGCAGUAGCUGGUGUGGCUUGGUACUUUUUUGUUAAACGCGGUCCAUUUAUAUGCGAUUCGAAACAUUGCGGGGGCCGAGCCUUGGUUUGCGAUCCUAGAGGUACACCGUUUUUUUAAGGAUGGGUAUAGAUAACUAAUUUACAGCCAUGUGCCAGCUGUGACAAGGAAAAAAACGGUGGAUGGCGGGGAAAUUACGGUGACCGAAUCAAACACUUGUCACUGUGUGAGCACGCGUCGAGGUUUCACGGUCACAUUUUUAUUUCAGUGAAGCAGCAACGCGUCGCGAUGACGGAUGAGCCAUAGCUUUUUUUUAAAAAGAAAUUUGAUUUCAAACAAGUUUUUGAUUCAAACAAUUGAUUUCUUUUUGGAUUUAAUAUAUAAUUCGGUGUUUUUAUCGUAUCGAUGUGGGGAAUUAGCGUGUCGAUAUUACUGCUGAUCAUUCUCUGCGUGUUGUGGAGCCCGGUGUCCUCGCGUCCAGUGACGGAUGUCGACUUCGAUGAUGAGAACCUUUGGUUGUUUGGACGCAAUCUCAUCGAGAGGAGAGAUCCGGAUCCUGGGAAACGUAGGCGUGGGAAAAACAAAAAUGGCGGAGGCGGCAAAGGCGGAGGAGGCGGCGGAGUUGGUAAAGGACCACCCCACGACGCUGCUUGGGAGGCGAGAAAAAAAGCAUUUUGUAAACGAAAGCCGGAAUGUUGUACAACCAAGCCAGACCCAGAUCUACCCUGUGCAGCGGGUACUGAACAGUAUUAAUUUUGCGUUGCUGUGAAUUUUGGAAGAGGAUUUUUAGGUGUGGAAAAAGAAUGAAUAUGUACGGCUGUAUUGGUCAACAAUUAAAUUAAUCAAAGUAGCUUAAUUUUCUUUGCUGAUUCAUUUUGACCCGAUUCCUGACCUUGUCAAACCGGUUUAAUCCUCCUUUCUUAUUUUAAAAUAUCGAUGACCCUCGGAAUUUCAAGCUGUAGGUAGAAAUAUUUUGUUUGUAAAUGGACCGCGUUAAAUAGAAAGGAACCAAGCCACAUCAGCUAUUGCCAAAUUUAAUUGGCUAAUUCAAUUUUUUACAAGAGAACGGUUGUGCAGAUUUUCAUACAAAUUUCAGGGAAUUUUCUCCCUAGUGCGAAGCGAAUUCCUUAAAAUUUUCAAAAGAAUCUGCACAAACGUUUCCUCGUAAAAAAAUUAAAUUGCCCAGUUAAAUUUGGCAAUAGCUGAUGUGGCUUGACUCCUUCUAUUAAGCGCGGUCCAAAUUUAAAUAUGACAGGAGAAAAUAUACGCAACGUGUUUAACCCUUAGAUUGGAGUAUGAUGUAUAAUUGUAUAAUAUCCCUUGGAAUAUCAAAUUCCAAAUCUG